UACGGGAGGCAGCAGUGGGGAAUAUUGCACAAUGGGCGAAAGCCUGAUGCAGCUAUGCCGCGUGUAUGAAGAAGGCCUUAGGGUUGUAAAGUACUUUCAUCGGGGAGGAAAAACAAACUAAUAAUUUUAUUUCUUGACGUUACCCGAAAAAGAAGCACCGGCUAACUCCGUGCCAGCAGCCGCGGUAAUACGGAGGGUGCUAGCGUUAAUCAGAAUUACUGGGCGUAAAGAGCACGUAGGUGGUUUUUUUAAGUCAGAUGUGAAAUCCAUGGGCUUAACCUGGAACUGCAUUUUGAAACUGAAAUACUAGAGUAUCGUAGAGGGAGGUAGAAUUCUAGGUGUAGCGGUGAAAUGCGUAGAUAUCUGGAGGAAUACCUGUGGCGAAAGCGGCCUCCUAAACGAAUACUGACACUGAGGUGCGAAAGCGUGGGGAGCAAACAGGGAUUAGAUACC
rnacentral:rRNA from 1 species